rnacentral:lncRNA from 1 species
CUAGAGACAGUGUGUUAUAAUCUGUAGGAUUCUAGAGACAGUGUGUUAUAAUCUGUAGGAUUCUAGAGACAGAGACAGUGUGUUAUAAUCUGUAGCAUUCUAGAGACAGAGACAGUGUGUUAUAAUCUGUAGGAUUCUAGAGACAGACAGUGUGUUAUAAUCUGUAGGAUUCUAGGCACAGAGAGACAGACAGUGUGUUAUAAUCUGCAGGAUUCUAGAGACAGAGACAGUGUGUUAUAAUCUGUAGGAUUCUAGAGACAGUGUGUUAUAAUCUGUAGGAUUCUAGAGACAGUGUGUUAUAAUCUGUAGGAUUCUAGAGACAGAGACAGUGUGUUAUAAUCUGUAGGAUUCUAGAGACAGUGUGUUAUAAUCUGUAGGAUUCUAGAGACAGAGUGUUAUAAUCUGUAGGAUUCUAGAGACAGAGACAGUGUGUUAUAAUCUGUAGGAUUCUAGAGACAGUGUGUUAUAAUUUGUAGGAUUCUAGAGACAGAGACAGUGUGUUAUAAUCUGUAGGAUUCUAGAGACAGUGUGUUAUAAUCUGUAGGAUUCUAGAGACAGUGUGUUAUAAUCUGUAGGAUUCUAGAGACAGAGACAGUGUGUUAUAAUCUGUAGGAUUCUAGAGACAGAGACAGUGUAUUAUAAUCUGUAGGAUUCUAGAGACAGAGACAGUGUGUUAUAAUCUGCAGGAUUCUAGAGACAGAUACAGUGUGUUGUAAUCUGUAGGAUUCUAGAGACAGAGACAGUGUGUUAUAAUCUGUAGGAUUCUAGAGACAGAGAGACAGACAGUGUGUUAUAAUCUAUAGGAUUCUAGAGACAGAGACAGUGUGUUAUAAUCUGUAGGAUUCUAGAGACAGAGAGACAGACAGUGUGUUAUAAUCUGUAGGAUUCUAGAGACAGAGACAGUGUGUUAUAAUCUGCAGGAUUCUAGAGACAGAGACAGUGUGUUAUAAUCUGUAGGAUUCUAGAGACAGAGACAGUGUGUUAUAAUCUGCAGGAUUCUAGAGACUGAGACAGUGUGUUAUAAUCUGCAGGAUUCUAGAGACAGAGACAGUGUGUUAUAAUCUGUAGGAUUCUAGAGACAGAGACAGAGACAGUGUGUUAUAAUCUGUAGGAUUCUAGAGACAGAGAGACAGACAGUGUGUUAUAAUCUGCAGGAUUCUAGAGACAGAGACAGUGUGUUAUAAUCUGUAGGAUUACAGAGACAGUGUGUUAUAAUCUGUAGGAUUCUAGAGACAGAGACAGUGUGUUAUAAUCUGUAGCAUUCUAGAGACUGAGACAGUGUGUUAUAAUCUGUAGGAUUCUAGAGACAGAGACAGUGUGUUAUAAUCUGUAGGAUUCUAGAGACAGUGUGUUAUAAUCUGUAGGAUUCUAGAGACAGUGUGUUAUAAUCUGUAGGAUUCUAGAGACAGAGACAGUGUGUUAUAAUCUGUAGGAUUCUAGAGACAGUGUGUUAUAAUCUGUAGGAUUCUAGAGACAGAGUGUUAUAAUCUGUAGGAUUCUAGAGACAGAGACAGUGUGUUAUAAUCUGUAGGAUUCUAGAGACAGUGUG